rnacentral:rRNA from 1 species
AACGAACGCUGGCGGCAUGCCUAAUACAUGCAAGUCGAACGAGAUCUUCGGAUCUAGUGGCGCACGGGUGCGUAACGCGUGGGAAUCUGCCCUUGGGUUCGGAAUAACUUCUGGAAACGGAAGCUAAUACCGGAUGAUGACGUAAGUCCAAAGAUUUAUCGCCCAAGGAUGGGCCCGCGUAGGAUUAGGUAGUUGGUGAGGUAAAGGCUCACCAAGCCGACGAUCCUUAGCUGGUCUGAGAGGAUGAUCAGCCACACUGGGACUGAGACACGGCCCAGACUCCUACGGGAGGCAGCAGUAGGGAAUAUUGGACAAUGGGCGAAAGCCUGAUCCAGCAAUGCCGCGUGAGUGAUGAAGGCCUUAGGGUUGUAAAGCUCUUUUACCCGGGAUGAUAAUGACAGUACCGGGAGAAUAAGCUCCGGCUAACUCCGUG